UAGAAGUCAGGUCGGAUUAAGCCAUAGUACGGAAAAAACUAUGCUACCUGUGAGCCCCGUCCAAGGACGUUAAAAGAAGUCAGGCCAUCACACAUGCCAUAGCUUGAGUAAACUAUGCGGCCUGUAGCUCCACCUGGGAAGGUGUAAAAAAUCUGGGAGGCCACAAACCAUGGAAGCUGUACGCAUGGCGUAGUGGACUAGCGGUUAGAGGAGACCCCUCCCUUACAAAUCGCAGCAACAAUGGGGGCCCAAGGUGAGAUGAAGCUGUAGUCUCACUGGAAGGACUAGAGGUUAGAGG
rnacentral:lncRNA from 1 species